rnacentral:rRNA from 1 species
GACGAACGCUGGCGGCGUGCUUAACACAUGCAAGUCGAACGGUGACGAAUGGAGCUUGCUCUGUUCUGAUCAGUGGCGAACGGGUGAGUAACACGUGAGUAACCUGCCCCUGACUCUGGAAUAACUUCGGGAAACCGAAGCUAAUACCGGAUAUGACACAGAGCCGCAUGGUUUCUGUGUGGAAAGUUUUUCGGUUGGGGAUGGACUCGCGGCCUAUCAGCUUGUUGGUGAGGUAAUGGCUCACCAAGGCGACGACGGGUAGCCGGCCUGAGAGGCGACCGGCACACUGGGACUGAGACACGGCCCAGACUCCUACGGGAGGCAGCAG